UACGUAGGGUGCAAGCGUUGUCCGGAAUUAUUGGGCGUAAAGAGCUCGUAGGCGGUUCGUCGCGUCGGCUGUGAAAUCCCGAGGCUCAACCUCGGGUCUGCAGUCGAUACGGGCAGACUUGAGUUCGGUAGGGGAGAUGGAAUUCCUGGUGUAGCGGUGGAAAUGCGCAGAUAUCAGGAGGAACACCAAUGGCGAAGGCAGAUCUCUGGGCCGUAACUGACGCUGAGGAGCGAAAGCAUGGGGAGCGAACAGG
rnacentral:rRNA from 1 species